AUUGAACGCUGGCGGCAGGCUUAACACAUGCAAGUCGAGCGAGCGGCGGACGGGUGAGUAAUGUAUGGGGACUGCCCGAUAGAGGGGGAUAACUACUGGAAACGGUAGCUAAUACCGCAUACUAUCGGAUAACCCAUAUGGGAUUAGCUAGUAGGUGAGGUAAUGGCUCACCUAGGCGACGAUCCCUAGCUGGUCUGAGAGGAUGAUCAGCCACACGGGGACUGGGACACGGCCCAGACUCCUACGGAGGCCGCAGUGGGGGAUAUUGCACAAUGGGCGAAAGCCUGAUGCAGCGACGCCGCGGGGGGGAUGAAGGCUUUCGGGUUGUAAACCUCUUUCGCUAUCGAACGGGUAGGUGGAGAAGAAGCGCCGGCUAACUACGUGCCAGCCGCCGCGGUAAUAC
rnacentral:rRNA from 1 species